GAGCGAGCCCCCUGCCUUGGGCAGCGCAAUGCCGGCCGAGCGGCCAUCGUUCUCAAAACUUCAAACGAUCCACUUCCUCUUCUGUUUGCUUUAGAGUCGCAGGACCUAGACUUUGAGCUGGCGGCUGAUCUUUUUCCCCUCCUUCGGUCUUCAACAACAGCCAAAAUAACCGAGAGGAACGCCCACAGGCUCCAGCUACUCCAGAUUUCUGACUCUUUUUCUUUUUUUUUAAUAUAGAUACUGUUAUUAUUUACUGAAGGAGAGCAAUCAGGUUCCUCGAAUUUCCUUCUCUUUCUAGUUUCUUUUCUUUUCCUUGCUUUGGCCAGAAGUAACCAGGAGACCAGCCUAUUAUUUUCUGCAGUUGUUUACUCAUUCUGUAGAUGGUGCUUGUUCCCAGGGCUCUGAGCCUCUCUAUAAUUAAACCCAUUUUAAUUGUUAGGUUAGAAACGUCAUUUCAGGGACUUUCCAAGAGUUACCGAGAAAGCCAGCUGAGAUAACUAUUUCUCUCCUUAGUCGCUCUCAACCUGGUUUUCAACCCGAUCCCCCUCCAUUGGCCGAUCAAGGUGCAAGGCUGAGCGGAGGGCUCUGCGCGGGGCAGCCCCCACCACUUUCGCAUGAUUCGCUUUCCCGUGUGCCUUUGUUUUGGAAACUUGAGGUUUAAGGUUGCGCAUUUCACGGAUCAAGCAGCGAAAGCUGAAGCCGAGAGGGAAUUUUUUUUUUCCAGGGAUUUAGCUUGGCAAACGCCGAUUCCACGGUGGUCUGCUUUGCAUUGGCUGCGCACAUGCUCAGAUCAGGAAUUUAGCUACUCACCCCACCUCGUGGCUAAAAGUCAGAGCCCUCCGGGCCACAGUGGGAAUUUGUGUGGGCAUGAACUCACACUGAGUAGAGGAAUGAAAAAAUCGGAGCCUUGCACCUUCCGCCAGAGAUGUGCCAACACUUUGAAAGAUGCAACUGAACAAAGAUACGUAAAUGAAUAAAUUAUUAAAGAUUAUUAAAGAUUACUGAAAAUGUGAAUGAAUGCAGUGCCAUGCUCAUUAGCUGUCUCGUGUGGGUCAGUCUGUCCAGGCCCAGCACAUUUCAGUUGGGAUGCUACAGCUGGAAUAAAUUUCUGGGGCUUUCCAAGCCCUUCCCAAGUCUGUCCUCAGUGCAGGAGCAGCUUCUGAAGCAUUCUUGUUCCCUGGUUCCAAUGCAAGCAGAUGCUAAACUUGUGUAAAAAUACAGGGGAGUGAGAUCCUUCAUCAGACCUGUGCAGACAUUUAACAGAGGAAUUAAGAACCACUUUCCCAAAAGAGAGCUGAAAUGGGCUGGAAUGGCCAGAAAACAGGGAAGAACCAGGGGGUAGCGAAUGAAAUGAUAAAGGCAGGAGGUUCAAAGGAGUAUUUUUUCCAGUUGUGUGUGUGUAUAAAACUGUGGGCUCACUGGCACAUGAUGCUGUGGAGGUCAAAAGUAUAAAAAGGGUCAAAAAAGCAAUUCAACAAAUUUAUGGAGGAAAAGUCCCUGGAGGUUUACUAAAGGCAAAGGCAGACCUCCGCAGCACGUUGCUGGACGAUGCACAGAAAAAGUAUCACUCAUUCCCCUGUUUGUAACUCACAAGCAUUAGCUGCUCUUGGAGAUAAGAGAAAGGCCACAGCAGACCUUUGAUCUGACCCAGUUCAGUUAUUUUUACGUAGGGUUUACUUUUGUGCUUUAUACUCCAUCUAAUCCUGAUGGGCUUGGAGGUGCACCUCACAAAUUUGGUUUGGGAUUAGCUGUGCAACAUCAGAUAGUUUGGGCCAGGCAGGAGGAGGUCAGUGAUGGGAAGUACAAAUCACCACCAUCUCAUCCCUUACCCACUGGGCACGGGUUCACACACUGGCUUCUGCUAAAGGCUAGAGAGCAGUCUCGUGGGGUGGCUGCAGUUUAACUCCCUGUCAGGGUAAUAAGAGGUUACUUUGAGAAGCUGGUAUAAACUGAACCCAAGUGCCAGUUCCGCCACAAAUAUAUUUGGUGAUGUUACAGCUCCCAUAGCAACAGAAGGAGAUUGUUAUCUUAAGACACCUCCACUUGUCUUCACCUGGACUGAAGUGGCAAUAGGAACUCUGCAGGUGUACUUGUGUCAGAGUUACUGAACAAGAACACGAGAGCAAAAAAGCCUCAGUUGUUGAAAACAAGGUGGAGGGUAGUGGUUUGGUUUGUUCCCCUUCCUACCACCCAAUUCCCAAAGUUUCAAGUUAGGAAAGGGAAGUGCUUUUGCCGAGAGCAACAUUUUCUCCUGUGAGUUUCAGAUGAGUUAGGCAUUUCGUUGCCAUGCUCCCAUGGGAAUCUUCAGAUAAAUAGACAUGCCUUUUCUGCAGAGGUAUUCUGAUGUACAGGGGCUGGAGCUGGAGGAAGGACAAACCUCCUGCCUUUAUUUCUGCUGGCAGUGUAAAGUGAGUUGAAACUUUCUCCAGCCGCUAUUCUAUUUAUAUCCUUUGGGUCCAGUGCUAUUUUUGUUGGCUGUGCCCCUGGAGGUGGAGGUGUGGAAGUGCCUUUCUGCUCCUCUCCACAGGCGGGUGUAGAAGUUUUCUCCGACCCAGGCACCUCCUCAGACGCUGCGGCCUUUCAGGGGUGGUAGGCGGAUGUCAGUGUGGCCAUUCCCCGCCUGUCCCUAACUUUUUAAUCCUUCCUUUUAUUUGGGCCUUGCGCUCCGUCCAUGGAACAUCUCUGGGUAGCCACUGGGAGGUGUGAAUGGCUCGGGAUGGAAACCACAGCUUGUAGGUGCGCCCUCUGCCAGGCUUUUCUGGCACCGGAGGAAGCCCGGCCUCCGCCUGCUCCCCAGCGAAAAGGAUAUUACCGGCUGCUUGGUGAGGAAACAGACUCGCAGAGAUACAGGAAAGUGUGUUAAGGUGGUGGGAAGCAACGGGAGUAAGAUUCCUGGCAGCUCGGUUCCAGGGAUUUCCAUGAAUUGCUGUCAGGACAGAAGGCGGCAAGAGAUUGCAACUGUGGGAUCUGCUGUUUCAGCUCCACUGACACGUCAUUCCCUCAGGACACCCAGUGACCUGAUGAAGAGCCAUGCUGAAUUUCCAGACGGCUGGAGGCUGUUUCACAGGGGCAGCACACAGCAGAAAAGGAAGCUGAGGAAGCCCACUCCAGCACUGGCCCAGACAGCACUGUUUCCAGAAGCAUGGUGUCACACCACCCAAGGGCCACAUCAUCAGGCAGGGCUGGCUUAGACUGUGGCAAGGAACCUGCAGCCACAUGUAGGCAGAGGCAUGGGGUGUGUUUUUCUCUCACGUAAGGGUGGAUCUGGAGCAGCUUUCAGUUUCCUGGGACCUGAGAGGUGGUUUUGUUCAUAUCACAAGAGGACUGAAGGUGCAACUUCUCUUUCCUUUUCUGGGGGCACACCACAAUCUUCCUUUCCUUGUGCCUCAACAGGAACUCUGUGUUCAUGCAUCACAAGCCCCCACUCUAUACAUUGUACAGCACACAAACAUCACAGAACAACAACCAGCUGGUGGGAUGUGUGAGUGGUAACCUGGCCAGGAACAGCUGUAAGUACCCUGUGGCUCAAAACCCCAAACUAUGUCCCCAAGGAUGUAUUCAGUCUAGGCUGAGCCCACACACCCUGUGGUAUCCUAGUUGUAGUUGCAGAGCAGAGAGGCAGGACAGGGAAAGAAAGGAAGGCUAGCAAGUUAUCCCAAAAUCGUAUUUCCAAGCUUUUAAUAUGGGUGGAUGUAUUUUAGAUAUAACCUUCAAUGUGAAUUCCCAAGUACUGAUCGAUUAUUUAUAGGUAACUCAGGGUUCAGGCUUAGCUUCAAGCCCAAUCUCACUAAGUGUUCACACCACAGUCCUGCUCUGCAAACAGCAGAGAAGAGCCUGGUCCAUAGAGAAACUAUGUCCUUACCAGCAGCACAAGUACUCUUGGCUUUUCAAACCCAAAAACUUUUACUGAAGAUAGCACAGAUGUAGAGUGAUGCAAGUGCAAAAUUCCCCAGAAGCAUUCCCCUGUCCCUAGGGAGCUGAAACAACAGCUGAAUUUUCUCAUGGACUUCUUCUGUGGCAGAUGCACAGAUUUAGGAACAGAACAUUGAAAAAAGCACCCAGAAACUCUUUGGCAGAGCCAGGACUGGAACCUGUUUCCUCUCAUCUCCAGUCUCCCAGGUUGUGAGAGAGAUUGCUUCCAGGUGCCUGGCUUUGUUCUGGUCCUGGCAACAGAAGGCCAUUUUCUGGUCCAUUCUCUGUCUAUCCCAAAGGGGUUUUAAUUUGCGUUUUUGACCACAACCAAACAGAUACUUUGAUUGAACUGUUCAUGCAGAAACCAUUUUACUGAGCUGUUCUGAUUUCGGUGUGCUAAAUUCACCCAUCUGGCAGGGCACUUUACUGCAAGACAGAACUCACAUACCUAUUAGCUGGGUCUUACCAUAGGAGAUCCUACCGGGAUGCUCUGGUCAAUGCUACAGCUACCUUCUGUGUCAGGGGCAUUCUCCUUUACCACUACCAUUCUGGGAACACUGGGUCAGAGUUAAGAGGCAGCUUAUCCCAGUGUCUUAUUCAGGCCCACUGCUGAUGAGGUUCACAUUAAAUCUACUGGCAAGAUAUAAACAACAAGAUUGAAUGCAGAAGGGCACAGUUAUGGAUGAAUAAAAGUAAAGGGAAUAAUAACCUGCUUUUCCUGGACCUGGCCCAGAAUUCUAACUAAAGGGAUUUCCAUGAGCAUUAGUAGGACUCAAAUCAGCCCAUAAAUUUAUUGCAAAUUUUCUUCUGCUUUAUUAAAGCGGGGGAAAACAAAAACAAACCCACAACAUAAACCUCUAUAUGUUUAAGGUUGUUUCCCCUUUUUCUCAUAUAUUUAUUCUUUCUGCUCCUUCCUGGCACUGGGAAGACUAUAACCCACCUCUGAGAAGACCAUGAUCUGACAACUGCCCAUAACAUGAGAAGUGCAUUCCCGAGCCCGCAGCUUUGCUGGCCCUGAGCAACAACCAAGACAGCUCUGCUCCACUUCAAGGCUCAUCACUCGUACUGGGCACUGGCAUAACAGAAUUACACACUGAGGGAAUGUUCUUCCUAUCUUAUUGUCAUUUCCCCAAAUAUCAAUUAAAAAAUGUCACAUUUCUGUA